AACGCGAAGAACCUUACCUACCCUUGACAUCCUGCGGAUUUAGCUGAGAGGCUGAAGUGCCGAAAGGAACGCAGAGACAGGUGCUGCAUGGCUGUCGUCAGCUCGUGUUGUGAGAUGUUGGGUUAAGUCCCGUAACGAGCGCAACCCUUGUCCUUAGUUGCCAUCAUUUAGUUGGGGACUCUAAGGAGACUGCCGGUGAAGAAUCGGAGGAAGGCGGGGACGACGUCAAGUCAUCAUGGCCUUUAUGGGUAGGGCUACACACGUGCUACAAUGGGACGUACAGAGAGUCGCGAACCUGCGAAGGGGAGCCAAUCUCGUAAAGCGUCUCGUAGUCCGGAUUGGAGUCUGCAACUCGACUCCAUGAAGUUGGAAUCGCUAGUAAUCGCGAAUCAGCAUUGUCGCGGUGAAUACGUUCCCGGGCCUUGUA
rnacentral:rRNA from 1 species